UGGGGAAUCUUGCACAAUGGGCGAAAGCCUGAUGCAGCAACGCCGCGUGCGGGAAGACAGCCCUAGGGUUGUAAACCGCUUUCAGCAGGGAAGAAACUGACGGUACCUGCAGAAGAAGAUGCGGCCAACUACGUGCCAGCAGCCGCGGUGACACGUAGGCAUCAAGCGUUAUCCGGAUUUAUUGGGCGUAAAGAGCUCGUAGGCGGUUCGGUAAGUCGGGUGUGAAAACUCUGGGCUCAACCCAGAGAGGCCACUCGAUACUGCUGUGACUAGAGUGCGGUAGGGGAGCGGGGGAAUUUCCUGGUGUAGCGGUGAAAUGCGCAGAUAUCAGGAGGAACACCAGUGGCGAAGGCGCCGCUCUGGGCCGUAACUGACGCUGAGGAGCGAAAGCAUGGGUAGCAAACAGGAUUAGAUACCCUGGUAGUCCAUGCCGUAAACGUUGGGCACUAGGUGUGGGUCUCAACCAACGAGAUCCGCGCCGUCGCUAACGCAUU
rnacentral:rRNA from 1 species